GAUAACCAUAUGCUCAUUGGUUGCACGCAGUUUGCAGUGAAACCAGCUCGAGAAACCUUGGAAACUAACAGAGCGUCCAUCAGAAAACACCAGGAAGAAGAACGAACGUAGCCAGUACGGAGCCAGAGCAGGGAGCAUAGACUGAAAGAGGAGGGAGUUAGCUAUUAAAGAAAACAGUUGAAAUUAAAUUAAAUGCGACGGUGGUUGGGACAGAUUUCUGGGAGCGAGAAGAGGAACGAGACAGGGGAUGAGGAUAUCGACAGAGAAACCAAGAAAAAAAAAUUAAAUGUCAAAUGGCUGACGGGUCGUGAAUGGCUUGUGUUUCAUCAAGAGAAUGUCGUAAUUUUUUGUCAGGAUUGCCACAUGUACACGAAAAAAAAAAAAAAUGUAUAUAGCAAUUUUGUGGUGGGAACUAAUAAUUUUAAAGUUGAGGCAGUUAAGGACCAUGAGAGUUCAUCAGGAGAGCCUAAGUAUUAAAACUGCCAAGACAGGUCGUAUUGAAGAGAGCCUUGCUGGGAGAAGCCUCGCUUUAUUGCAGACGUCUGAGUUGGAGAAGAUGCAGCUACUUUUUCGAUGCCCAUGCCAUCGGAAAAUAGGGCAGGCCUUUCACCGACUUCGCAUGGAUUUGAACCUUUGAGAAGACCUGGCCUACUGUGAACAGAAUACUGCGCCAUCGGUGUCCUCAUGUCCUUGAUCUUUUUGGUGCCCUCCUCACAAUCCCUGCAACUACAACUGAUUGUGAAAGAGGGUUCAGUGUUAUGGAGCAGAUAAAGAGUGACUGGCCCUCACGCCUAAAAGGUGAGACCCUCUCUGACAGGGGCGUCGCACCCGUGGGGGAUGUGGGGGUUUUAACACCCACACUUUUCCCGGUGAGAGGGUUCGACACCCGCACAUUUUCUGCAGUUUUUCCGCAAUUUUGCACAAACGUCUUACUACAGUUCCUCCGUUUCUCUGACCGCUCUGUUUUUGUGCUCGCCGCGGCUGCCUCCUCCCCCCUCCCUCUAAAACAUGACACCUGCUUUGAGUGUGAUCGGCUGAUGAUUGGCUGUUUUGCCUUAAGUCCCGCCUCUCUUGGGGUGUUAUCGGUAGGCUCGUGCUGAGGAGGCGGGAACUUAUGGUUAUUUACAUCUCCCUUUUCCAGGAUUAUUUUUUUCCCAGCCAAACGCUGCAAGCCGGAAAUCCCGCACAGUGCCAGAGAACUUUUAAGCCCUACAUUUUGUACCCCUCUGUCAAUGUGUUCAUAAUUUUUAUUGUUUAUAAACAAACCACAUCCAUCCCCCACACUUUUGAAAAGCUUGCUACGCCCCUGCUCUCUGAUCUCCUUAAAACCCAGUUGUGCUCACCUGACAUCAAAGACUUUGAUCCAACCAAAGCCAUUGACAUCUGGCAUGUUAACAGUUUGCACUCAUGCAGGCCUGAAUUUGUGCAAAAGGAACAGAGGGUGGCUCAGAUUCUGAUGGCACCUCUGAAGAAGAAGAGCUCUGAAGACAUAAUUCAAAUGAUAGAUGAAAUGUUUGCACUUUCUCUGUAUAUUUUGUUGUAGGAAUUGUACUUUUUAUGUGUUUUUUAAUACCA